rnacentral:rRNA from 1 species
UGGGGAAUAUUGCACAAUGGGCGCAAGCCUGAUGCAGCCAUGCCGCGUGUGUGAAGAAGGCCUUCGGGUUGUAAAGCACUUUCAGCGGGGAGGAAGGCGAUAAGGUUAAUAACCUUGUCGAUUGACGUUACCCGCAGAAGAAGCACCGGCUAACUCCGUGCCAGCAGCCGCGGUAAUACGGAGGGUGCAAGCGUUAAUCGGAAUUACUGGGCGUAAAGCGCACGCAGGCGGUCUGUCAAGUCGGAUGUGAAAUCCCCGGGCUCAACCUAGGAACUGCAUUCGAAACUGGCAGGCUAGAGUCUUGUAGAGGGGGGUAGAAUUCCAGGUGUAGCGGUGAAAUGCGUAGAGAUCUGGAGGAAUACCGGUGGCGAAGGCGGCCCCCUGGACAAAGACUGACGCUCAGGUGCGAAAGCGUGGGGAGCAAACAGG